AUUGAACGCUGGCGGCAGGCUUAACACAUGCAAGUCGAACGAGUGGCGGACGGGUGAGUAAUGCUUGGGAAUCUAGCUUCUGGAGGGGGAUAACUACGGGAAACUGUAGCUAAUCCCGAGUUCCAUAGGAUGAGCCCUUAUGGGAUUAGCUUGUAGGUGAGGUAACGGCUCCCCUAGGCGACGAUCCCUAGCUGGUCUGAGAGGAUGAUCAGCCACACUGCGACUGAGACACGGCCCAGACUCCCACGUGAGGCAGCAGUGGGGAAUAUGGGACAAUGGGCGCAAGCCUGAUGCAGCCAUGCAGCGUGUAUGAAGAAGGCCUUCGGGUUGUAAAGUACUUUCAGUCUGGAGGCGUUACCGACAGAAGAAGCACCGGCUAACUCCGUGCCAGCAGCCGCGGUAAUAC
rnacentral:rRNA from 1 species